rnacentral:lncRNA from 1 species
GAAGAGGCCAUGGAUCCAGGAAGCAUCGAAUUCAACGUGUGUGAACCAAAAUUACAGCUCUAUUUCUUGCUUGGUCUUGUCUACGCCACCGUCACUCCUUUUCUGCUCCCUUUCAUCAUUGUAUUUUUCGUGUUUGCAUACGUAGUGUAUCGCCAUCAGGUCAAAAUUAAUUUUUCCUUCACAUGCAUCUUCUAAUUGUUAUUAAUUACGUGUUCAAAAUUCAAAUCAUAUAUUAAUUAUAUCGUGUUUCAGAUCAUUAAUGUGUACAACUCAAAAUAUGAGAGUUCAGCAGCAUUCUGGCCAGACGUCCAUCAACGCAUCAUUGUAGCGAUCAUCAUUUCUCAAAUUCUGUUGAUGGGUUUGAUGAGUACAAAGAAAGCAACGCAAUCAACACCUCUACUUUUGUUUCUUCCCGUUCUAACCAUCUAUUUCAAUAUUUUCUGCAAAGGUCGUUUUGAAUCGGCUUUCACCAAGUAUCCCUUGCAGGUAGGUUUGCAUCAUCAUCCAUCGAUCACUUUCUUUAAACCAAGCUAUGAUAAUGAUAAGAUUAACGUUCUUAAUUGCUUGAUGGAAUCAUUAAUUUUCUGCCUGGCUUGUUCACUGUUCAGGAGGCUACGAUGAAGGACACACUUGAAAAAGCCAGGGAACCGAAUCUGAAUAUGAAGGAAUACCUUUCCAGGGCAUAUAUCCAUCCAGUGUUCAAGGAUAAAGAAGAUGAAAACGAUCAAGAAGAAGAAUUUGGAAAAGUGUUGGUUCCCACAAAGCGAGUUUCUAGAUUGAACACACCUGUUACCAGCAUCAACUACUCUACUGAAAUUAUUCCAUAGUCGAUCUUAAUUAAUUAGUAAAUCAAAAUUCUAUUGAAAUUAAAACUUCUAUGAAUUAUUUAAUUAAAUUAAAUUAUCCAAGAAUUUCUAAAUUCUAUUAAUUAAAUUGGGACAGCAUCAGCUGCGCGAAGACCUAUAUGCGCCAUUGUGCGUCGAGGCCUCGGCGAGAUAGAAUUUUAAAUCGAAUGGUUGAUAUUAUGUCCUACUGUUUUUCCCAUCAUUGAAUUACCAUUGUUGACAAUCUCGAAACCGUCGGAUGACAACCACUAAUUAAGAUGAAUCGGACAGUCGAGGUUCAAUAGCUCGUUCAACACAUUUAUAGUUUUGGCCCAUUGGAUGUCUUGUGUAAUUAAAUUAGCCAUGAAAGAUCUCACUGAAUCAUUUUUUUUAUUUGAACAUGGAAUUGCCAACUAUAAUACAAAAAAGAGUAAGAACAAUAUUGGGUGAACAAUAACAGAUGAAGAAAUAUGAAUGGAUCAAUG